UCUCUCCCCACCACCAGAGCCCCACAGUAGCGGACUCCCAACCCUCCCCCCCCCCCUCCCCACCACCGGAGCCCCGCAGCAGAGGUCUUCCCCCCCCCCCCCCCCACCCCCUCUCCCCACCACCGGAGUCCCGAAGCGGAGGUCUUCUCUUCCCCCCCUCUCCUCACCACCGGAGUCCCGCAGCAGAGGUCUUCUCACCCCCCCUCCCUCUCCCCACCACCGGAGUCCCACAGCAGAGGUCUUCUCACACCCCCCUCCUUACCACAGGAGUCCCACAGAAGAGGUCUUCUACCCGCACUCUGGAUCCCCCCAGCCUUUGGAUGUCGUCCACAAUAUGAUAAUGGGAUGGAAGCUAUUGUGUUUGGAUUUGUACCCUGGAUUAUUGUCAUUGAUAUUGCUCUUCCCUUUGCCAUUUUCUAUAGAAUGCAUUCAAUGUAUUCACUGUUUGACGUGUACUGUAAAAUAUGAGCAUUCAUAAACAUCCUCUGGAAUCCUGA